UGUGAGAGUGAUGAGGUGCACAUUGGUGGAGCUAUAGUAUCAGGUGAUACAGGCACCACUCAGUACCACACUGGUGACAAAAUCAAGUGCACAGGGGCCAUCUGACUCACA